rnacentral:rRNA from 1 species
AGAGUUUGAUUAUGGCUCAGGAUGAACGCUAGCUACAGGCUUAACACAUGCAAGUCGAGGGGCAGCAUGGUCUUAGCUUGCUAAGGCCGAUGGCGACCGGCGCACGGGUGAGUAACACGUAUCCAACCUGCCGUCUACUCUUGGACAGCCUUCUGAAAGGAAGAUUAAUACAAGAUGGCAUCAUGAGUCCACAUGUUCACAUGAUUAAAGGUAUUCCGGUAGACGAUGGGGAUGCGUUCCAUUAGAUAGUAGGCGGGGUAACGGCCCACCUAGUCUUCGAUGGAUAGGGGUUCUGAGAGGAAGGUCCCCCACAUUGGAACUGAGACACGGUCCAA